rnacentral:rRNA from 1 species
AACGAACGCUGGCGGCAGGCCUAACACAUGCAAGUCGAGCGAGGUAGCAAUACCUAGCGGCGGACGGGUGAGUAACGCGUGGGAACGUACCCUUUGCUACGGAAUAGCCCCGGGAAACUGGGAGUAAUACCGUAUGUGCCCUUCGGGGGAAAGAUUUAUCGGCAAAGGAUCGGCCCGCGUUGGAUUAGGUAGUUGGUGGGGUAAUGGCCUACCAAGCCGACGAUCCAUAGCUGGUUUGAGAGGAUGAUCAGCCACACUGGGACUGAGACACGGCCCAGACUCCUACGGGAGGCAGCGGUGGGGAAUCUUAGACAAUGGGCGCAAGCCUGAUCUAGCCAUGCCGCGUGAGUGAUGAAGGCCUUAGGGUUGUAAAGCUCUUUCAGAUGGGAAGAUAAUGACGGUACCAUCAGAAGAAGCCCCGGCUAACUCCGUGCCAGCAGCCGCGGU